UUUUAGUUUUACCAGUUCAAGUGUACAUACAGUCGCGCAGUCGCGGUUGUUCAAAGAAGAGACAAAAAAGAUGAACAAAAGAUUUGGGGGGAAGAAGCCGACGGGAACUCCGUCUUUAGCGUUGUCAACCGUCGUCGUUGUAGCCUCAUUGCUCGCCGGAGCCUCCGUCGUACACAAUUUAUACAAGCCAGAUCUCACAUUACCUCAGAUGGGAAGUGAUGAAGUAGACAAGAAGGAAGAAUCUCGAAACAAAGAUUAAAAUCCCUUUUUUUUUCAGUCGUUUCUUGUCUUUUUAUUUCACAAUCUCCUCUGGGUUCGGAGUUUUAUGCCCUUAAGACUUUUUUCUGUUACGUAAUGAAUAAGUCCGCUCACUGGUCAAUUACUUUGUGAUCCAUCCAAGAAUUUGAUUGCAACUUUGCAUUUACAUUGCUAACUGGAUGUAAAGAGAUUUUAGAUUUUA